GUCUAUGACCAUACCACCCUGAACGCACCCUAUCUCGUCUGAUCUGGGAAGCUAAGCAGGUUCGGGCCUGGUUAGUACUUGGAUGGGAGGAUGGCAUAGUGAGACACCUGAGAAAACAAUCCUGGAAGCAGGGUCU
rnacentral:rRNA from 1 species